rnacentral:lncRNA from 1 species
AUGCCAGAUGAAAUUACAGACAACAAUACUGCUCAGUGCAGUAACCAGACCUGAAAAAAAAAAAAACACUGCUCAAGGCAAACUUUUGGGACAUAGUGCUGCAUACAUGGGCUUAUGCACAAACUGGGAUUUUGCAAGUCAACUGUCAAAGACAUAAAGAGAGAUAGUAGACAAUGUUGAACAGAGUUGAAGUCCUGGAAUCUCGGUCAACUGCAGAUAGCAGCAUGGCGUAAAGCAGACGUCUUGUUUCCCAGUCCAAUUUUAGUCAGGUAUUCUUGGUGGUAUGAAACUGCAGUCAACACAGGUUUUUAGUGGUCUGCAAGUACAGAGUUCUAAAUUGUGAAACAAAACCUCUAACCAGAUCACAGAGUGUGUGUGUGUGUUAUGCUGUGCUGACAUAUUGCUGUGACAUAUGGUGCAUUUAGGUCCACAACCUGGUAU